CAAACACUUCACUCUGGUUCUCAGUCACACUGAGAGGAAGACACACAAACCGCCGUCCAGGUAGUCGUCUUUUUCCAUCAACACUUAUUCAUGUAGACGCUGAAGUUAACAGAAACCCUAAAGAUCCUCAAUGAACUCUGCACCUGUUUAAUGCUGUUGACCUCUGAGCUGUCUGUCUAUGUCAGCUUCAUGUAGGAGUCACAGGAGGAGUCAUAGUAGCACAAAUCAGGAGGUCUAGAAGGAGCCGUAGUUCCACUAAUCAGGAGGUGUAGAAGGAGUCAUAGUUCCACUAAUCAGGAGGUCUAGAAGGAGUAAUAGUUCCACUAAUCAGGAGGUCUAGAAGGAGUCAUAGUUCCACUAAUCAGGAGGUCUAGAAGGAGUCAUAGUACCACUAAUCAGGAGGACUAGAAGGAGUCAUAGUGUCACUAAUCAGGAGGUCUAGAAGGAGUCAUAGUACCACUAAUCAGGAGGUCUAGAAGGAGUCAUAGUUCCACUAAUCAGGAGGACUAGAAGGAGUCAUAGUUCCACUAAUCAGGAGGUCUAGAAGGAGUCAUAGUUCCACUAAUCAGGAGGUCUAGAAGGAGUCAUAGUACCACUAAUCAGGAGGUCUAGAAGGAGUCAUAGUUCCACUAAUCAGGAGGUCUAGAAGGAGUCAUAGUACCACUAAUCAGGAGGACUAGAAGGAGUCAUAGUGUCACUAAUCAGGAGGUCUAGAAGGAGUCAUAGUACCACUAAUCAGGAGGUCUAGAAGGAGUCAUAGUUCCACUAAUCAGGAGGACUAGAAGGAGUCAUAGUUCCACUAAUCAGGAGGUCUAGAAGGAGUCAUAGUACCACUAAUCAGGAGGUCCAGAAGGAGUCAUAGUUCCACUAAUCAGGAGGACUAGAAGGAGUCAUAGUUCCACUAAUCAGGAGGACUAGAAGGAGUCAUAGUUCCACUAAUCAGGAGGUCCAGAAGGAGUCAUAGUACCACAAAUCAGGAGGUCUAGAAGGAGUCAUAGUACCACUACUCAGAGUUUCCAGAUGAACAUGCAGUGUUUCUUCCAGGAUUUUUUUCAGCGGCAGCAGGUUCUCCAGGAGUUGGGCGACGUAAACAAAUGACA